GAUGUGGACAUGGCCACGUGACGACGACAAGUGGAUCGACGUCGAGUUGGCUCGCGAGAGGGGUGGAUGGACGAAUAUACCCUUCCGCCCUGCGCUCCUCACCGGUGCCGCCCUCGCUUCUUUAAGUCCGCCUCCAUCGCCCGCUUCUUCCCCCAGUUCGAGUCGGCCACCGCAAGCGUAUGAUGAAUGUGCAUUAAAUUAACCAUUCCCUCCGUGCUCGUCGCCACACUCUCGGGCUCGCUUGGUGCAGGUCGGGAACCGAUCAGUCGGGGUUAGGCCGCCGGAUUCCGCCGCUGCCGACGCCUUAUCCGGUCCGCCCUCCCCCCGCUUUGGCUGGCUUGCUUCCCCACUUGCAUCAAGUGAAUUCGAGAAUACUUGGCGAAAAAGGAAGGCUCGCGAUUGGAUUAGGGUCUUCCAUCGAACCGUGUUCUCUGGUAGUGUUACUCUCUUGUGGUUUUUUCUCGGCUUGUCGAUGAAAGGUGGGCUUUUUUGCGGUAAAUCUGCGAUUCCUUUGCUUCUGCUUUAGGGCGAUCCUAGCUCUUUUGUUAUAACUGCUUGUUGGAGCUUAGAUCUCGUUCCUUAUUUAUUUAGAUUUUAUUGAUCGAUUAAUCUCUAGGAAGCUCGGUUACAAAAAAAUGAUAUUUUUCCUACUAACAGCCAAUUUGAGGGACAUGUUAUAUUCUGAAGUUCUACAUGAGCUGCUAUUCAUUUGAAAGAAAUUAUAAGUCACCCUCCUCAUUGAGAUUGUUGUUGGAUCUAAGCUAAUUUUAGCACCUUGGUUUGGGAUAGAUUCAUGUUUAAGGGGUUCCUUCUGUAGGAAAUAAGCACCUUGAUUUAGGAUAGAUCCAUGUCCCAUUAGGUAAUGCAUACGGAGACUUUGCUACUGCUGUAGACAUGUUGGAUUACAUACAGCAAGCAUGUGUUGGAAUGUUCAACAUCACCGGAUACAAGUGAACCAAGCACUCCAAACAUAUUUCAGAGCAUGCCAAAGUUUUCACCAGCAUUCAUCAUGAUGAACUGUGAUAUUUAGAUGAAAAACAUAUGAUUGUAAUAGGAGAUUUUGAUUUCCGUGGCGCAAUGGCUAUUCUGUAGCUUGCUGAUCACAUGCUCUAGUAUAAUUUUUGAUAAUCUGAAGAUAAUUUUGAUUGCCUUUUUUUUUUCUCACUUCAUAAUCUAAAGAUAAUUGUUUUGCUGAAGUUGCAGAGUAUUAAUUGGCAAAGACCUUCCACUUGCAAUAUUGAAUGAAAAUCAAGAUCUAACCAGGACUUGUAUUUCAUUUAGAAAAUGAUUUGGAACGUGCAGAUGGUGGGUGGACGAUUGUUAAUGGUAGUUUGUGCUCGAUAGGAUCUCAGGAGUUGGGCUGAGGCUUGCAGGAGCUUGCACUAGAAGACAUUGCGGUGCUAGCCCUUUUUUUUGCCGAUUGAUUGUAGGGUCGUAACCAUGCUAAUAUUGUGCUAUCUGGACAAGCGAUAUGCAUAUGGGGAAACAAUAUUUUUUGGAAAGGAUAUUGUGAGAAGCUAGUAAUGAAGUUCGACUCUCCAACUCACUUUCCACCUUCCCUAAAGAUCAUGAAUGAUGUAGGAAUAAAUUAAUGUGCUUAUGAAAAAGGUGGAUAAUUAAUUGAAAUCCAUCCAUAACAGAAAGUCCCUUCUUAUAGGGGUGAGUUUGAAAAUAGAAACACUAGAUGACAGUGAAGCAAAUGGCUAAAAUUUAGUACCGAUAUAUUGGUCAUGUCAAGAACUGUGCUUAACAAGGCAUCUAUGUCCUCUUUCAAUAACAAGCACAAGGAAUGACAGUGCUUCAAAGCUGGCAAGAGCAUCAGAAUCUUGUGGCUUUCUAAUAUGCCAAAACUUUAAUAAAGUAACUAUCUCAAGGAUCUUUUUAUUAUAUUUCGUUUUGGUUUGUUUCCUUAUAUUCUUCAUGGUUUGGAUAGUUAUUACUGAUUUGAAUGUUCAGAGUUUUGUAUCCGACGGCCUUCCUUUGGUGAAAAUCACCUUGUGCUUUUCUGGAACAAUGCUGGGUAAAGUACAUCAUUGAUUGAGAAUCUUUGGCACUUUGAUUUGGUUAGAUCUAUUUUCAGGUAGUUAUGUUGUUUUGUUGUAUGUUGGCCUCAUGAUGGAACUAAAUUAAAUUACAUAAGAUUCUGCUGGUAAAUUGCAUGAAGCUACUUAUGGUGCUUGCUUGUGUCAUUAUGAUACAGACUGGACGCAUGAAAACAUGGGCCGAUAAAUAUAACUCUCGAGGAUUUGCAUUUAGAGUUUCUACUCGACUAUCGUGGGAAGGGAUGUAACCUUGUUUGUGCUUUCACUAGUUUACUCUGCCUUGUUUGACAGUUUGUUCUGGGAUGUCAUACCUUCUCUUCAUGAUUGGGAAUCUUGGAACAUCAACUUGGAGAUUUUAAUAAUUUCUUUGACACUUUAAGUUGCUUUCUUACACUAAUUUUCACUUUUAAAAAUCUCAAUUGCUUAUCUUUUGUAUAUUUCUUAUUGGUCAUUCUGUUGAUCAUGUUUUAUGUUCAUGUCUCUAGUGAAAUCUUUGGCAAUCAUCUUUCCUUAUUUUGAUCCUAGUGUUUUGUUGGCUUACUUUUGACAUGGAGCUUCUUCUUUUUUCUUGUGGAUUUAAGAUGUCAAACUCUUAGUGGAAGAAACAAUAACCCAUCAUGCGAGAAAUACGAUUACGUAAACUAGCUAAUUACCUUAGACAAGUAGGAAAGAAUAAAGUUUUCCUCUGUUUCUGGUGGAGAGGAAAGGAAAUUUGUGAGCGCUUGGGAAUACCUGGUUCCUAUAUUAUGUAACUGCUGGCUGUUGGAGAACAUUAGGCAUAGAUUGUUGGUUCUGAAGACAAGAUGAGCAUGAGAGCAAAGGAAUUAUUGGUACAAUUAUGAGAGCAACAGCUGGUAAAUUUUUAUAGGCAUCUGGUUUUACAUAAUGUAUAAGAUCUUGUCAAUUAGCAAGUGAAGUUUUGAACUGGACGGAGCAGCAAUGUAAAUAACAUCAAUGGAUUUAUAUUUUCUUGAUGCUCAAUUUAGGCAUAAAAUGAAAGACCUUCAAAUUGAAAUGAGCUUUGGAUGGGAAUGCAUCGGCGCGACUGGCCAUUAAAUUUCUAUAUCCUAUACAUGUCAUUCUGUGAAACUAAAAUAGUUUUAUCUGCAAAAUUUGCAGGGAUAUGCAGCUACUUGGGCAUAUACAAAGUAAGAACAAGUUACCUCUGUUGCUUUCUUCGGAUUCAAUCUAUAGGCAUCGAGGUAAUUAUUCGACGCUCGAUCCAAGGCUCGCUUGCUCUUCUCAACUUACUACGUCAUCAUGUGUGUUGUUAUCAAGCUACUUCCUGGAAUUAAUCUGCUUAAGCUCGACCACCGACCGAGAAGGGAGUGCAGUGUCAAAGAUCACUUUUAAGAUCCAAUGCGAAGUGCAGCGUAUCUAUCUAUUACAUGCAAUCGAACAUGUUGUUUACUCUUGCAAACUGAUUCGAUGACGCUCAAAAGUUGCGGCCAAAAUGUUCGCCCACGUGAAUCGAUGGAUCGGGUGCUACCGUGGAUCGAUGGACGUGACGGUCACCUGAUUCAGAGAAUGCGUUGUGGGUGAAUCAGAUCUUGCAGCGGAGGACUUGCGGGAGUCGGGAGUCGUCCUCAGCCUCGUGAAGGAUGGCGGCUCAUUCGGCGGCGGCAGCGGCAUCUGUUCGCUCUUCAACAUCACCAGCACCGACGAGAUGGUGGGUCGGUCUUCCGGGUUCUCCUGCACGCACAGCAACCCGACGUGGAAGCAGCGGCUUGCUUCGUUCGUAGGGUAGCAGUCUCCCAGCGAUGGAUCCAUGAACUCCGAGGCUCUGUCAUCGUCCCACAGCUCCCAUGCCUUCCCAUCAACAGAACCAGCCUUCAACACACCGUUCGUAUUGCUACGGAUAGUAGAAGAGGAGGAGGAGGAAAGAGACUGGUGGAGCAUACAUGUCUGAGGAGUGUCUGGCCAUGUCGCUGAACGUGUGAUCCCCCGUUCCUCUCCCCGCUCAGAAUCUCUAGCAGGAGAACCCCAAAGCUGAAGACGUCGGACUUCACAGAGAACGUACCUUGCAUCGCGGACUCCGGAGCCACAUAGCCACUGUUACGGAGAAAGAUUAGAUCGACAGACAGCGACUACAGCUACCUGUGUUCGACGAUGGCUUGCUGCUGCAAAUCACACUUACUAGGUUCCCACGACUUUGCCCGUGUUGACUUCGUGGUCUUCUCCCUCGAAGAUCUUUGCCAUGCCGAAGUCCGAUAUCUUGGGGUUCAUCCUGUUGUCCAGCAAAACAUUGCUGGCUUUCAGGUCCCUGUGAAUGACCCUGAGCAUGGAGUCCUCGUGGAGGUAGAGAAGCCCCCUCGCCACUCCCACAACGAUGACGUAUCGCCUCCGCCAGUCCAACUGAGACCUCCUGCUCGGAUCUGGACAAGCCGAACCGACGCCAAAUAUGAGAUCCAAAUUUCUAAUACCAUGCGAUACGAGAGCAGUGGAUUCACGAACCAAAUAGGAAGGCGUCGAGACUCCUAUUGGGAAGGUAUUCAUAGAUGAGAAGCUUCUCAUCCCUCUCCACGCAGCAACCCAACAAUCUCACAAGAUUCCGGUGCUGGAGUUUCGCAAUCAGCUGCACCUCAUUCUUGAACUCCACAUUACCUUGCCUGGAUUUCGUCGACAGCCUCUUAACAGCAACUUCCUGUCCUCCACGGAGCACCGCCUGUGGAUUUUCAAGCAAGCGGUCAGUCACCAUGGGAAGAACAGUAUCGAUAUAUAAACCAUGCACUCAUCCCAGGAGAAAGACUCGAUUACUCUGUAUACAGGGCCGAAUCCACCUUCACCGAGUUUCUUGUCCUCGGAGAAGUUAUCCGUGGCUGCCUCUAUUGUGGAAAGAUCGAUCACGGACAGGUCUGAGCUUGAUAUGGGACCUAGGUUCUCGAUCUGAGCCCUUCUCACAGCUGAUGCAUCCACGAAGAACGUUAAGAAACUGACCAGAAUGGCAAAUUACACUGGAAUCAUUGGGUGGUGUCUACCGUUGCGUCUUCUCCACCUCCAGCAAUAUAUGCAGUAGAUCAAAGCGCCGACGAUGACCACUACAAGAAUCGACACCAUGAUUGGCAUUGCGGAUGAACUCGAUUUCUUUUGGCUC